GUUGGGAUAGUUCAGUCGGUAGAGCACGAGACUCUUAAUCCCAAGGUUGUGGGUUCGAGCCCCACACUGGGCA